rnacentral:misc_RNA from 1 species
GAAGGAAAAUCUUUACCCAACCUGCAUUUGCAUCAUAAAAAGUUGAGAGAGACUAAUAUUAUGUACUACACAUCUUCAAGUUGAAAUAACUUCUAAGCUCCUAGUUCCUACUCUGGUAAAAGCAGCAAAUCUAAAAAUCAAAGCAUCUGAAUAAUGCAGCAGGAAAAUAAGGUCCUCUUUUAGGAAAGAUCCAGUCUUUACUUUCUCUCACACACAUUUCUCACAUAAGCUAUCACCAUAAGAAAAAAUUCAAAGCAUCUGAAUAAUAUCGGAGGAACCAAUAAACAAACCUUUCUGCAAGCC